UACAGAGGGUGCGAGCGUUAAUCGGAAUUACUGGGCGUAAAGCGUGCGCAGACGGUCAUGUAAGUCGGGUGUGAAAGCCCCGGGCUCAACCUGGGAAUUGCAUUCGAGACUGCAUGGCUAGGGUGCGGAAGAGGGAAGCGGAAUUUCCGGUGGAGCGGUGAAAAUGCGUAGAGAUCGGAAAGAACACCAACGGCGAAAGCACUCUGCUGGGCCGACACUGACACUGAGAGACGAAAGCUAGGGGGAGCGAAUGGG
rnacentral:rRNA from 1 species